UCCGGAGAGGGAGCCUGAGAAACAGCUACCACUUCUACGGAGGGCAGCAGGCGCGUAAAUUGCCCAAUGCCAAAUUUGGUGAGGCAGCGAAGAGAAAUAGCGACCCAGACCUUCGGGUGUGGGAUCGAAAUGGGUGGUAUUUACAACCACCAACGAGUAACAAUUGGAGGACAAGUCUGGUGCCAGCACCCGCGGUAAUUCCAGCUCCAAUAGCGUAUAUUAAUGUUGUUGCUGUUAAAGGGUUCGUAGUUGAAUGCAGGGUUUGGGAGUUGUGUGACCUUGCGGUCAUCACGUCAUCCCAUCCCUGUCUUUUAGACGGGAUCGUAUGCCUUGCCGAGGAGAGUCACCUUCAUUGGUGGUUCCGAGGCUGUUGAGUGAAGAGCUCAAUGUACGCGUCACCACGCGCUACGGGCCGCCCGUCGUUAUCACUGUGAAGAAAACAGCGUGUUCAAGGCAACCGUCUCGCGGUUGAAUGACAAAGCAUGGAAUGACAAAGCAUCGACCAAUGGGUCUGGCUUUUGUUGGUUUUUACAACCCAUUUGGAUAUCUCAUGUCUGGUAGUCGUUCGCGACUCUGGGCAAACACGGGAUUAAUGGGGGUUGUCGGGGGAAAACGUAUCUGAGCGAGAGAGGUGAAAUUCUUAGACCGCUCGGGGACGAACUUAUGCGAAGGCAUUUUCCAAGUAUACCUUCAUCAAUCAAGAACUAAAGUGUGGAGAUCGAAGAUGAUUAGAUACCAUUGUAGUCCACGACUGCAAACGAUGACGCCCAUGGAUCGGAAGUGAAUACUCACCCUCCGUGAUGGGAUUUUUUCGGCGCUGCUCUACCCUAUUAACGCGAAAGCUGAGGCUAUGGUCUCAUGGGGGAGUACGUUCGCAAGGCUGAAACUUAAAGAAAUUGACGGAAUGGCACCACCAGGCGUGGAGUGUGCGGUUUAAUUUGACUCAACACGGGGAACCUUACCAGUACAGGAAAACGCAAGGAUUGACAGAUUGAUAGUUCUUUCUUGAUUCGUUUGACGGUGGUGCAUGGCCGCUUUUGGUCGGUGAAGUGAUUUGUUUGGUUGAUUCCUUUAACGGACGAGACCCAAACCGCUUAAUAGGUGGACCAUCUGCCUUCGGGCUUUGGUGCUUGGGUGGAGCCUUCGGGUUCCGGCCUGGGUUUCCGAUGGUGAUACUCCUUCUUCGCGGCAUUCCCUGCUCCUUAGCAGGGUGGAAUUUUGGGCAACAGCAGGUCCGUGAUGCUCCUAAAUGUACUGGGCGACACGCGCACUACAAUGACAAAGUGAAUGAGUGAAACCUUCUCGGUCCUGCCUCGAAAAGGGGUGGGUAAACUGGAAAAACUAUGUCGUGCUAGGGAUCGAAGCUUGCAAUUAUUCUUCGUGAACGAGGAAUGCCUAGUAGAUGUGCUUCAUCAAAGCACAUUGACUACGUCCCUGCCAUUUGUACACACCGCCCGUCGUUGUUACCGAUGCCAGUUGGAUACAGGUCAACGGACUUUUUGCGGGCUUCGGUCUGCAGAGAGAAAGUUGCCCCAUGUUUAACUAGUAGAGGAAGCAAAAGUCGUAACAAGGUAGCUGUAGGUGAACCUGCAGCUG
rnacentral:rRNA from 1 species